rnacentral:rRNA from 1 species
AUUGAACGCUGGCGGCAUGCCUUACACAUGCAAGUCGAACGGCAGCACGGGGCAACCUGGUGGCGAGUGGCGAACGGGUGAGUAAUGCAUCGGAACGUUGCCAGUUGAGUGGGGGAUAACGGUAGCGAAAGUUGCGCUAAUACCGCAUAUUCUGUGAGCAGGGAAAGCAGGGGACCGCAAGGCCUUGCGCUCUUUGAGCGGCCGGUGUCAGAUUAGCUAGUUGGUGAGGUAACGGCUUACCAAGGCGACGAUCUGUAGCGGGUCUGAGAGGAUGAUCCGCCACACUGGAACUGAGACACGGUCCAGACUCCUACGGAGGCAGCAGUGGGGAAUUUUGGACAAUGGGCGGCAA